rnacentral:rRNA from 1 species
UACGUAGGUGGCAAGCGUUGUCCGGAAUUACUGGGUGUAAAGGGCGUGUAGGCGGGAGGACAAGUCAGAUGUGAAAGCCCAUGGCUUAACUGUGGAAUUGCAUCUGAAACUGUUUUUCUUGAGUGCUGGAGAGGAAAGUGGAAUUCCUAGUGUAGCGGUGAAAUGCGUAGAGAUUAGGAGGAACACCAGUGGCGAAGGCGGCUUUCUGGACAGUAACUGACGCUGAGGCGCGAAAGCGUGGGGAGCAAACAGGAUUAGAUACCCU